CGUUGGUCCUCUCGCAUCGAAACCUUGUCGACCUGGUCAGGCCCGGAAGGGAGCAGCCAAGGCGAGGAUCUUCGAGUGCCGGGAUGCGGCUGGCGGGC
rnacentral:SRP_RNA from 2 species